UGAAAAAAUGUAAAACUUAGGGGACAUUUGAAAAAUGAAAUUGAUUUAAUAUAUGAUUACAAUGGGAUAUUUUAAUAUGUUUGGAAUUGAUAAAUUGAAAUAAAUUAUUAUAUAGAUUGAGAUUUGAGCUAAUAAGAGGAUAAUUGAGUAAAAGUCAAUUUUUCGGAUUAGUUCUCGAUGUUUUGUGUGUCGUUGUUUUGUCAAGUAAGUUCAUAUAUAAGUUACUAUGUUAAUUUUUUGAUAUAUUUGAUUAUAUUUAUUUUUUAUUAAUUAUAUUAAUUGUAAUUUUGAUGAUGUUGGCUUAAAAUUAAUUAUAUGUUUAACAUUAGUAGAUGACAUGCCAGAAUUAUAUAAGUUUGGAAUGGAUAUGUGGCAUAAAUGAUUUGUACCUUAUUGAGUUGGUUUAUUUGGAAUGAAUACACACAUGAGCAUGUUGUAAGUUAGAAAUGGACUGUAUAUAGGAUUUUAUAAGUAUAAGAAGUUAUUUUGGAAUGAUGGUAAUGAUGGUUCAUAGGUAAUACUUGAAUUUGAAUGUUAUAUAACAUGUAUAUAUAUAAGUCUUGUUAUGUUUAAGUGUUCACUUGAAUGUUGAUUCUUUGGAUCUAGCUUAGAGCUAGUAAAUUGAAUGGUUCAUGUCUUGAAAUUUUUAAUGGUAUGUGUGUAAACGAGAAUGCCAAUAUUUUGCAUGUCUUAGUGAAUGGUUAAUGUUCAUUUGGUAAGUAUAAGAAUGAAUAUGUAACAAGAUGGUGCAUAGUUACCUUUUCAUAUAAUGAAUAGAUGUUUGUUUGAAUAUUUGUUAUAUGUGGCAUGUAAUUAAAAGAUGUUAUACUAUCUUGUUAUGUUUAGUUUGGUUGGGAACUUAGUUGACAUUGAGCCUAUAAUGUAAUUGGCAAAUGUUUAAUAUGAAAAAGUUUAUUAUCAUGAUGGGGAAUUGUUCGAUAAUACAUGUAUUGUUUGUAUGGAAAAUUAGUGAUCUUAGGACAUGACUUAAAUGUUGUGUUAACUUGGUAUAACUUUUGUCUACAUGCUUUUAUAUGGUAUGAAAUGUUAUAAUAGUGAUUGAAAUUAUUAUCUAUUGUGUGCUUGAGCUUGUAGAAAUACAAGUGAUUGAUUAUGAGCAUGUAUAUAGGUUGAUUAUAUUUACUAUAAAUUUGGCAUGAUAGUAGAUGAUUUUAAAAUUUUUUAUUAUUAUACUACUAAGUUCUAUAUAUUACACUGUAAAUAGGCACUGAGCAAUUAAAUGUACCAAAUGAUAUAGAGAAUUCAGGAAAACGACCAUGCUAGUAUGUAUGAUAGAUUAUUGAAUUUGUGAUUGUUUGGUUGAUUAAAUUUGUGAACAUUGAGAUACCUUGGGAUAACUUAAGACAUUGUUUAGUAUAAACAUAGAGACAAAAAUCUAACCCUAUUUAUUCAUCUUUAGUUCCUAUAUUUGAGCCAGAAAAUACUUCUUGAUGAACCUCCAUACAAAACCCGAGCUAAAAAUGUUAAUUUGUAUUUUCCCUCUUUCUUUGGUCCUGAACUACAUGAUUAUAGACGUUUUUCCACACGUAUUAAGGGUUAAGUAGAUACAUCACGACAGAUUUUGUAACAACAAAGUGAAAUGGGAAAGAUCAGUGUGAUAUAGUAAUUAUAGGUUAACUUAUAAAUGCAAAAAAAAAAUUCAAAAAGAAAAUCAAAACGAGUAGAAAAAAUACUUGAAAAGAAAAAGCAUUCGUGAGUGAGAUGUAUUGAAAAAGAAAAAUAUGGUAAAUUCACAAAAAUAGAAAAACUAGUUCAUUAGGGCAUAGAAACUCGUGAGUUAGCGAUAGUUGUUGUAUUAUGCUAUGAUUUCCUAUGUGGAGAAAUAAGGCGGUGAGUGGGUAAGGGUCACUAAGGAAGGAGAAUAGGGAAUGAUACGAUAUGCCACACUAUUUUCAUGCUUGAAACUAUUUUGAUGUUUAUCAUUCUUGAAUUCCACACUUGUCCUAAGCCUUGAAUGGUACAAGCCGGAAAGCCCUAUGUGACCUAGGUAGACUUAUUCAUGAAUUGAAAUCAUAUUAAAUAAUUGCAUUUAUGACUAGUUGUAUUCUGUUAGGAUAAUCAAAUUAUAUAAUAAUCAAAUUAUAUGUAUAAUUUAUUGAUGGAUCCAUACAUUUGAAAACCUUAAUGUUUGUAUGCCUUACAAUAUACUGAACUUAGGUGUUUAAUAUCAAAAGUGGUAAGUCAUCUACAUGUCAAGAUUACGUGUAAAUAUGAAAUGCCUAGUUAUGUACUCCAAAGCCAACAUAUGUACUAUACCUGCUUAAGGGUCGUUUUUUAAUUUAUUGCUUUUCUUUGCCUUUCUUGAGGAAAAGUAAUAACUUAAGUGUAAGGGAGUUUGAUCUACUAUAAUUUGAUAUAGCGGAUUAAACUAGUUUUCGCAUUUAAAGAGCUUGAAUACGAGCAUUUUCAUUAUGUUUUAAUUAAGUUUUCAUAGUUUAGUUUAAAUGCAAUAAAAAGUGUAUUACGAGUCUUUUAUUGACCUUAUAGGCUAAAUGAGACCUAAAGGUGAGCUAAUAUACUUAAUGAGUAUGCAGAAGACCAUUAGAGGGCUUAUAAACUUAAACACUGGUCGUUGUGUUGCAACACGUGAAGUUUGAUGUUGCAACAUAGAGAGCAGAAUACAAAAAUAUCAAGAUUGUCUUCGGUGGUGUGACACAGCCAUGAGAUUUCGUAACAUACCCCUGAAGCAACCCUGAACCUAAGCAUACUACCUUCGAUGUCGCAACACAAGCACUAGGGUGUCACGACAUCGGUCCUGUACGAUAGAUAAUUAUGAGCCAAGUGUGUUUUGGUCUACACAAUUAAAUAUUUAACAUGAGAUCGUCAACUAACUUAGGGUUGAGGACGAAGACAACCUUAACUUUAUAAAUAGACUCAUUUAGCACUUGUUAUAGACAACUUUUGAUACUUUAAGUUUUUUUUGUAAUUUCAGUUUUUAAUUUUCCUUUCCUUUAGGCUUUAGGCUUAUUUUUAAUUAUUUUCCUUUUGUGUUCUUUGGAUAACGAGGUUUGUAAAAUGCGAUCAAACGCUAGUGGAUUGUUUGUGCUUCAUCUCACACAAACAUGAUUCUCUAAACUCUAUUCUUGAUUUGUGAUUUAUGUUUAUCUUUAUAUUCAAGUUUAUUGUAUUCAUGAGAUUCAUGAUGAACUAAUCCUCUUAUUGGGGAUUAGCGAUUGGAGGUGUGAGUAAUUGAUUCUUAUGUAGAGUUUUCUUAGUGGAUAAACUGUUUGGGAAAGAAAGAAUUUAAACCCUAAGCUUGAUGACCUUAAGAAGUCAAUUAGGUGGGAAUUAACCCAAAAUUGGUAUGGCCUAUCCAUGAACACCUUAGCCCUAAAUAGGUCUAGACAAUGAGAUCGAGAGAUAAGUAGUUCUUGCCUACUCAUUAGUUUAGUGGAAGAUCAAGAGAUCCUGCUAGGGUGAUGACUAGUUGAUUGAGUAGAAACUCGAAAUAGAAAUUAGUUAUGACCGCCAAAGUAAGUUAAUCACCCAUACCUAGAAUUGAUUAAAGUCUAUAAAUUAGGUUUUUCGAAGUUCUUUAUAUUUAGGUUUUUGUUAUUUUUAUUUCAUUAUUUAUAACCUAAAAAUAUUUUCUUUUAUGUUUUAUCGUACUAUAAUUUAUUUAAAUUACUAAUUAGAUCAAUUUGGAUUUAGGUUAGAAAUAAUUUAGUACUCGCCUCCAUUGGGUACGGUCAUUAGAGUACUCACCUACUUUGUUCUCGCUAUAUUACAAUUUGACCUGUAUACUUACGGACACCACUUAUUUUAUAUCUUUUGUGCAGUAUUCUUACUCUAAACGUUACUACUUCCGAAGGCAUUCAAUUUCCAUAUGUUGUUCUCUACAUCUUUAGAUAUUGUAUGAGCCAGCCUUUCCAUGCAAGACACAAAAAAGGUAGGGAGAAAGAUGAUCACUAUAACUCCCUCAACCAAAUUUAGAUCUCGAGUGUUACAUUUCUAAUACAGACUUAACAAAACAUACAAUUUUUUGAAUAUUUACAUCUUAUUUAAGAGUACUGCUCUAAUUAACUUACAACUAGAAGUACUGUAGAUAAUUUCAACCAUUGUACAAGACUUCAAAUAUAGAGAACUUACAAGUGAAUAUCAUAAAUUAAAUACAUUAUUCUAUUUGUUUUAUGCAUAAUAGACCGUAGUGAUAAUAUUGAUUAUAAUAGUGCAACUAACACGUUCCGUAUGCAUAAUAGCCCGUUCUAUCACCUCUGGCAUAGCCUUGGCGUCAUCCCUCCCAUCGUAGACCCAAAUCAACUUACUUGUAACAUGAUACACAUAAGUAAGUUCAUGAGAACUUAGUGAGUAAAACUCAAUUUACCUAUAUCGCGCCUAUACAACGCAUUUGGUAACUUCGUUGAUCCUCUGAUUGUUCUUCAUUCUUCAGCUUGUUUAUGGCGAGUACAAGGCUCUUUCAUCUUUAUGGUCCAAGAACUGACUGAACCGUGCUCUAAUACCAAAAUUGUAAUGCCAUCAACCUGAUUCGAUUUGUCGAACCUGGAUCUCGAGUGUUACACCCCUAAUACAAACUUACUAAAAAAAACAUACAAAUUUUUGUAUAUUUACAUCUUAUUUAAGAGUACUGUUCCAAUUAACUUACAACUAGAUGUGUUGUAGAUAAUUACAACCCAUACCUUGAAUUCGCCACAUAUUCUAGCUCAUUCCAACUUAUCUGUUCAUAUCCUAAGACCAUGCAGACUAUGCCAAGACAUUUCAGACGUAACCAUUUCUUCAGAGUUCGCCAUAUACAUCAUUCUUUUAGGGUUUUUCCAUACUUACCAUUCUUUAGAAUUAACCAUUCAUAUCAUUCUUUUAGAGUUCACCAUACUUACUAUUUCUCUCUUUCAGAGUCUGCCACAAGGGCAUUCCCUUCAAAUGAUAGCCACAAGGGCCUUCUUUUAGAAAACACCACGAAGGCUUUCCUUUCUAUAGAUCGCCACAAAGGCUUUUAUUUUCAUAGAUUUCCAUAAAAGCGUCUAUUUUUAUAGAUUUCCAUAAAGGCGUCCAUUUUCAUAUAUUACCACAAAGGCAUCCAUUUCUAUACGUUUUCAUCGUAGGGAUUUGCCUAAAUCACAUUACGUAAGGUUUGCCCCACAUUGUCUUAGGUUGCGCAGAAAACUCCAUUAGGUAAUAACAUUCCUUUAGAUAUUUCCAUAUGGUGCCAUAACCCACCAGCUAUGGUCUUACACGAUAUGGUGCCAUGGACUUUUCUUUCAGAGAAUCGUGUUUAAAGUCCCGACGGACCCCUUUAGAUGAGUCCAUCGCGAUGAACAGACUUAGGCUCACUUGAUAAACCUUCAUGCAUUGACCUCAUUUAAGACUUAACAUAUUUCAUUUUGAUUUAUCUCAUACAUUCCAGAAUCAUUCAUACAACCUCGUUUCACUAUCAGAACAUCCAUCACAUACUCAACUUAUCAGGUACUAUACAAACUACACAUGAAAGACUUAUUUAUUGGUCAUACUACAACAUUAUCUCUCUAUCAUACUUACCUAACUUCAGAAUUGUAGUGUGACUACUUUCUACAUAAGCAUCUUGAAUAAUAUUAUGCAUGCAUGAGUCGGCUUAAGGACUCACCUGACAACCACAAAUAGUCGUUUGAACUCUAGAUCCAUCAUUAAAGCAGGGAUUUCAACAAUCUCUGUCUUAUAAACAAAAAACCACAUAUAAAACCCAUUCAAAAUAGCCUUUACUAUUAUCUUAUAUUCAGACAACCCUCAUACGAGGCCUUACUUUUUCAUACGCUCAAACAUUUCUACUUGCAAUGCCUUAAGGCUUACCUUGACACGGAGAAAUCACUGAUAAAAUUCAGGGUUUCCCGAUCCAUCAUAAGAGAAAUCUUCUAUUUUUCUCCGGGCUUAAUUCUCAAUGUUUUGAAAUGAAAAUAAGAGAACUCUCCAUCUUUCUACUUGAAAACCUAUUGAAAUAGUCAAAGUCUUUAUUGGAACUUGAAAAAUUUCACAUCACUACUGACUUGUCUUACGAAGGGUCUAUAGCUUUCGAGGAAACUAAUUGAGUACUUUCCCUUUCUCUUUUAACUAUCUCGAUUUACGUUCAAUUAGUUCUUAACCAUCUUAAAUUAUAACUUAACAUGUAUAAUAUCACGGGGAAAAGGAUGCACUACUUCUAACGUGGGCUCGUACCUUCAGUAUCUAUUUACCUGACUACAUCCUUCUUCUAACAAAUUACAACAAUCUGCGAUGAACUGUCAACAUCUUCAUCACACAACUGUGUCUGCCCCCAUAUAUGCUAUAAAGAGAACUUGGGUAAUUACCAAUUUGCUAAUCGUACCUAUCAAAGACUACGCCAGAACUUGUGCUUGUCAGAACAGGGGCGUUAUAGGCUUGUUCAAAUAAUUCUUAUACUUAGUCAAAUUUUAUACUUAACACACUCAAAACUUAAUUUAUGUGCCUUACUUCUAUAAACAUCAUUUGAACAUUAGGGUUUCGUCAAGCGGGAUGUUACAAUUCUCCCCCACUUAAGAAAUUUCUUUCUCAAAAUUCCGAAAAUGACUUGGGUUGUUUUUGCCAAACUCAAAUUAGUGAUUGCACAAAUUCCCUUGCACACACUUCAACAUUUUCUUUCUUAUUGGAAUGCUCCCCAAAAUUCUUAAAAAGAUAUCCUUAGACUGCUUUCUUGAAUAAAAUCAAAUUUUUGAUGGUUAACACUCAAGUAUGGACACCUCACGCUUACCCCUUUUUAAAAAAUAUCAAACUUGCAUUGGAGAAUUCAAAUAGUUUUUCCUAAGGUGCCUUCUUGAGCACAUUUAUCCCUACAAAACAGAGAAUUUAACCCUUCCUCUAAAACCUUCGUCAAGCCUUCAAAUUUCUUAACAGCUUCCCUAACUUCCUUUUCUGCCUUCGUCUUCUUCGAUUUGAAGAAUUCUUAAAGGUAAUCCUAUUUCCCCUUAUUUCCCAUUGUUUCCCAUUAUUUUCUUACUUUCAUACAAGAUGUCAAGAAUGAACACUCAUGGUCAAGGUCAUGACCAACGUGGCUGAGUUUCAAUCCCUAAUUGUCCCACCAUUUUUUGUCCUCACGAACUCAAAAAUACCCUUCCAACCAUUUCCACUCCUAAAUACGAAUGUAGUAAUACCUAAGAAGAAGUGAAUUGAUUCUUGAUAGCCUGAGGCUUCUGUUUUCCAAACUUCACUUACGACCUUGAUAUACCUUCAAGGUGUUAUUUAAGUGCCAACACCUUGGGUUUCAUCCUUCCGCUCAUUAUGCUAGAGGCUGGUUUCUAUUUACCUUUGCACCUAUUCUUCUAUUCAAUGUUGAUUGAAUACGACAUUGCACCAAGGCAGUUAUUAGCCUUGUCCUAGUAGACCGUUAUUGCCUAUUGCUUAGAUUGCUGCUAACGAAAUGAACCUACACUCCUAGGAGUCUUCCAAAAAUUUUACCAACUAAAAAUAACCAAAAAAUGGGCAAAUGCUGGAUACGCCCACUUCAAUGUUUUCAAAUCUUCAUUGGAGAAAGGAAAAGUUCAUAAAGGUAGUUUGUAAGCUCGAAGAUAGGUUUGGCUUUUCCACUUGCUGGUCCCUUCCUCAAGAGCUCACUUAUUCUCAGAGUUUGCUUAUUUAGUCUAAGGUGGAAAAUAAGUAAUUUAAGUGUUUAAGUAUAGGGCAUGUUCUAGAGUUAGUGAAAUUAGUUACAAUUAGGAAUGUCUUUCAGUACUGCUUGUUGAAUCAGAGUCCUAAUGGUCAUAGAAACAGUGCCUGUAUCAAUUAGUUGGAAGAUUUUAUUGUGCUUUCAGUGCCCAAGGCUUGUCUACACAACGACAAUAUUAUCUUAGCCCAGAUCUUAACUGGGCAUGCAAGAGAGCCCCUAUUUUACUUUUACGAGUUUUGUGGGAUACGUUCCUGAAACUAGCUUAUCACUCAUCGUGCUCAUCCUUCUUCUUUUUCUUCAAGUGAAGCUAAUUCUCACAUUGAUAGUGCAUGGUAUAUUUCCAAGUCUCAUAUUCCUCCCAACCUAAAGCUAGGCAUGGACAUCAAAGCCAUUUUAGGUACCACUUGUGAUAUGGAGGGAGCUUUAAUUGCUCCUACUAGGCAGCCUAUUUCCAAGAAGUAUCAGAAGAGACUAAAGGCAAGUGAAAAUGUUUUGGUUACUAAGGAGAGUGACCAAUUACAACCCAAAUGGCGUAGACUUGGGAAAGGACUUCCAAGUCCAAAGGUUCAUUUCUUGCCAAUUUCGCCAACAGUUCCAAUGGAACCCACCUGUGCAGCAGACUCUUCUGCUCAGGUUACAGGUUCGCCUUACACAGAAAUCCGAACAGAAACCUCACCAGAUGAUCUAUCUAAGAAUCCCUCUAUUCCUCAACCACAGUUCUCUUCUUCUAUUGAAAAUAAUGAAUUUUUUCCUUGGCGCAACCUUUAUACUUCAGGACCCUCAUUUGUUUCUUUAAGUUCGAUCUUUAAAAACUAAUACAACUUGAUUCCUCAAAAAUACAGAGAGGCAUUCCAUUCUUUUAUUGUGUCCAAGCCGGGUUUAACUUCUUUUUCUUAGAUGGCCAAAUCUGCCAAAGCUUUAUCUGUUAAGAACAGGUUGUUGAGUGGAUUUCUUUAAAAGUUUCACAGUUUUCAUAAGGCCACAAUUUCCAGUUACAAUGAGUUCCUUAAGUUGAAUUCCAAGAUGAUAGAGGAGCAAUGCAGUAGGGAGCAGGCUCUUAAAAGUAAGUUUGAACAACUCAACCCAAGUAUGGUAGCGUGAAAGUUCAAAAACAAAGAGAUAGAGAAAAGUGUAGAUUGUUGGAGAACACAGUUGAAUCGUUAGAGAAGAAUGAUUCCUCCUUAAAGGAACAACUCUAAUACCAGAAGUUACUUUAUAAGGCUAAGUAGGAUAGUGUUCGCUAAUCCAACGAUAAAGCCUUCAAGAAAUAUCAGGAGUACACAAUAAGAAACUUUAUUGAGGCAUUGUCAAAGUGGAAGGCUAACCUGAUUCUCCAUGCCCAAGUGGUCGUUGGUCCUAUGGACUUCUGUCAAGUAGACUUCAACUUUCUUCUAUACGCUGCUACAUAUUCAUUAGGCUUCAAUAUUUACAACCCCAAGGGUUUCAAAAUGGAAACAAAUUACUGGUUUCUUUAUUCUUAACUCACCCAAAAUAAAGGGUGGCGAGAAUCUUGAGAAGCUUCAACAUUCAGAGUAAAUCUUGGGGGAAAUAGAGUCAACAGAAGAAGUCCACGCCAAGUCCACUAGGCAUCACUCAGGGGAAGAGGACUAAUUUCUUUCUUCUUAUUCUUUCUUAUCUUUUAUGGCCUUCUUUUUGUAUAACAUCCAUUUUAUCAAUGAAGUGAUCAUUUGCCUCUCUUUUUAAUAUAUUCAUUCAUCUUUCCUUUUCAACUAUUUAAUUUAUUAUUUCUCUACAUCCUUUACUUUACACAUAAAUAAAGUUGUUUGCACAUACCUAAGAGACUUAGCCAAGCUCGACGUAUUAUACAUAUAGGGCCCUUAACUAUUUAUGGUCUAUAAUGCCAAACUUGUAAUGUGUAACACUCCUAACCUGUUUUUAUCACCGAAUUAGGGUUAAAGAGUAUUAUUGUACAAAAUAGAACAUUCAACAUCAAAGAAAAAAUAAUUAUGCAAUUCAAAUGUUAUCAUUUCAUAACUCAAUUUAAUUAAAGUAAAAAUACACUUACCAGAUCUAGCAUGCGGGGCAAAAGAUAUAGUUUGGAAACAUUUCUGGAUCAAUUUGAAAUAAAAUAGAAAAUUUUGGAAAAGCUUGAAAAUUUUGAAAUAGGGGUCACACGGUCGUGUGACUAGGCUAUGUGGCAUAGCCCAAACUGUGUGGACAUUCAAAAUCUAGACACACGGUCGUAUCCCAGCCCGUGUAUCCACCCGAGUGGGUAAUCAAAAUAGGGCCACAUGAUUGUGUCGUGGGCCGUGUGCCAAACUGUGUAUGCAUCCGAUGUUGGGUCACACGGCCGUGUCGUAGGUCGUGUGUCAGAUCAUGUAAAACAUGCACCUAAAAUAAUAAUGACACACGACAGUGUAGGGUAUCCUUGUGUGGCAAACGAUCGUGUGACAACCCGUGUUCCAAGCCGUGUGUUUCAUAUAUUACCCCUAAAAUAAGCCAUUUCAAAUCUAAUUCUUGCACACCAAGACACAACAUUUCCACAAACACUCACAUGACCAAAACACAUUUAAAAUGUAUUUAAAACAUACCAAUUCCAUCAACCUAUAAAACUAACCAAUGUACCAACAAAAGGCACCAAAAUUAUAAACCAAACAUAAUCUCAUUCAAUAUUACAAGUUCAUUCAAUAAACUUAGAUCAAACAUACCAAUAACCAUUCCAAAAGCAUCCAUUCAACCAUGACUUACCUAAUAUAAGAUAGAACAUGCAUAAAAGCAGCUUCACCUAUUUACAACAUCAUUUGCAAACAACAUCAAUUAGGCAUCCAACCACAUUAAACUCAUCACAACUUAAAACAACUGAGAAACCAAGAUUACAUUUAAGCCCUAAACAUGCCAUUUAUAACCAUAAGCCAAAUUAACCAAAAACUACCAAAAUGAUGGAAAGAUAGUGUGAUCGUGCUCCAACGCGAUUGUAACGCCCCAAAAUUUUAAAUGUUAUUUGUGAGAUUCUACAGUAAUUAAGUCUUUGUAUCUGUGGUUAUAUGCUCUGCUUAGGUGGUCGAGGUCAGGAGUUCGAGUCGCGUUUUUAAAAGUUUUUCUAGUUUAAUUUUAAUCAAUCUCUUCUCUUGGGUUGCUGACUUAAAGUUAAUUCUGUGUAAAUCUAUGUCAAGAAUGAGCCUACUGGUUUACUGGUUAAGCAUCUGUCUAUUCCCUGGUCCUAUGUUCGAGUCUCGGUAUAUGCAUUAGGUAAUGUAUUUGCUUAAAGCCAAAAUUUUGAUCGGUGGUUAAUUAAUUAAGCGUUCUCUCUUCCUCCCAUCUUUAUUUUUUUGUUCAUUUUUUCCUUCCUUUUCAUUUUUUUCUUUUUACUCUUUUCCUUUUUUAUGGUCCAAUUGUUACUUGGUUCGCAUGGUUUGUCUGCUAUGUUGUCGGGUAAGUGCACAUGUCUUUACUGCCAAUUAUAUAGAUUGUGUAAUCGCAUUAAUCAUAGAACUUCCAUUAGACGGUAGUUCAUUAGUUCUGUCAAGGUUGUUUCCAACUUGAUUAGUUUAAACUCUCUUUUAAGCGAUUAUUCGAUUUCUUUUUAGGUGAGAAUACAGAAACCAACAAUCCUCAGCGCGAGUAAUUGCUGUUAAUUUUGUUAGUAAGUCUGGAAUUGUUGAAGGUUUUUCAUCAAAACUUUUGAUAUAGUUUUCUGCGUGUAAUUAGAAGUUGUUGCCAAUUAAAUGGCUUAAUUGUGUAAUUGGAUGGUUGUGUUAGGCUUUAGGAGUCUUCUACGUUGCUUCUACAUUAAAAAUACUUUAGGUGUGUACCAAAAACUUAAGUUUUUACGAAUUUUGGACGUUAAGAAAUAUAGUUAUCGAUGCUACACAGCCGUGUGAUAGGCCGUGUAACUCAUUAUUUACCAAAAAUGAGCCACACGAGUACGGGACACAGGCGUGUGUCCAAGCCGUGUGUGGUCAAGUUAGUGCAGGGUUCACACAGGCCAAGGACACGGGCAUGUGUUUAGGCUGUGUAACUUACUGAGUACAAGAUAGGGAUCACACAAGUUAGGGACAUGGGCAUAUGUCCAAGCCGUGUGACUCACUGUUUGCAAUUUUAGACCAUACGGGCCGGCGACACAGGCAUGUGUUAGGCUGUAUGGGGCAUACGGGUAGGCACACGAGCAUUUGAUAGGCUGUGUAGGGUUAUACGAGCAUACAGGUCAGAUUCAAAAGUUAUCUCUGAGGUCGUAAGCAUUGUCUAAUGCGAAAGUCAGCUUUUUGUAGUGCAUUGAUGACCCAUAUUAAAUUGUAUGUGUUGCUAUCUGAUAAAUCUAAAACUGGACUAUGAGUAUAUAAAUGGAUACUAAAUAUGAUGACUGUUGGUGAUAUUGAUCUGUACCACCUUAAUAUGAAUUGGAUCUUAAUAACCGUAUGUACAAUCUGACAUCUGUAAUGUACAUUUGCAAUGGGUGGGAAUUGUGAAAAUGAGGAAGUAAUAUAUUCUGAUUCAGUGGCUUGGCCAAUAUCUAUAUGUUAAUCUGGCACUUUAGUGCAACUUAUUCUGGUAGCUAGUCUGCAACUGCUUGAAUGUGUCGGACCGACACUAUAUGGUGUCUAGGGCUGUAGGGGUUUAAAACUCCCUUAUCGAUGUGUUGAGGUGGUCAGAGAUGGUGUGUAUCGAUCUGUUUCUGAUCUGCUCUGUAUUUAAAUUAGAUUUGUACUACCAUUCAAUUGAUGUGUAACAUUGUACUGGAAAGUCUCUAAUUCUAAAUAGAACUUUGACUUAGGAAUAUAUUGUUAUACUAUGGUUCUAGUUAAAUCUAUAAUGUUUAUACACUGAAUUCUCUACUCAUUUUGUUGUUGACUAAAUUUUAGGUAACUCACAAUCCUGAUCGGAUCGACGUAGUGGGAGCUUGAUCAACUUGCUUAAUCACCCCUCUUAUCUAUAUUAUUAGUAGUUGCAUUAGUCUCUUUUGUUAUAAGUUUACAAGAUUGUUGGGUUUCGACUAAAGUUUAUGAUUGUUCACUUUGUCAGAAAGUUUUAAUUAUGUUAUAUAAGUCGAUUUUUCAAGCAACAUAGAUGUAACUCUUUGGACUUGGCCUUGACGCCCAGGACAAGUAUAAGGUGUUACAUUUAGUGGUAUCAGAGUCAGGUUAAUCAACACUCGGAUUAUUUUUUGGGCUUAUAAUGUGUGCCAAAAGAUAGAUAAAUGAAAAUAGAAAAUCUGAGUCAUUCUAAAAACUAAUUUUUAUAAAUAAUCGAUCCUCUAAACCCGAACCUAUAAGUAUUUUUUUGUUGUUAUGGUGAUUAAUGGAAACACUGUAGUGAUUAAACUGUUAUUUGUUUAAAUACACUGAUAGAACUGGAAGAAGUACUAUGUUGAAAUCCUGAACUGAUAUAUGUACUCUGACAUUCUAGAUAGAUUACCAUUAUGAAUUCGCUCAGUAGUCAUGAAUGUGGAUUUCGUGGGCGUUGUGGACAUAGAGGAGGAGCUCGAGCGGAGUCAUCCUCUGUGGGCAGGAUGCCCAAUCUGGAGACCAGCGAGACAGUUUGUACUCCUACUGCUGAGACGAUGUCUCAUACUUCAACGGCUGUGGAUGAUGCACUCUCCCAGGCUAUAAUUCAAGCAUUGGAAAGGAUCAUCUAGACCCAUUCUUGAUCUAGAGGCCGUGGGCCAAUUACUGAACGACUUCGGUCAAAUGGUGCUGAGUUGUUUCAGGGCAUCAUUGGAGUGUUGUACUCCCACUCAAAAAUUGAGGCAUGCCGUGUCCCUACUCUGGAUAAAGCCUAUCAGUGGUGACUAACGGUUGAGCAAGGUGCUCAGCCUGAGUAGGUUAAUUGGGACUAUUUUAAAAGUGCCUUCUAAAGUAACUAUAUGGGGGUGAGUUAUGUGGAGGCUCGUUGAAACUAGUUUAUGAACCUGGUUCAAGGUGAUCAAUCUGUGGCCGAGUAUAAGGUCGAGUUUCUGAGACUGAUUAGGUACGCGCGGGCUCUGGUAACAUUUUACUAUGAUAAUGCGUGAGGUUUGAGGAAGGGUUUCGUUAUGAUCUGUAGGUUCCAAUAGCUCCUCAGAGGGAGCGGGUUUUUGCGGCCUUGAUUGAUAAGGCUAAGAUAGUGGAAGAGGUGAAACGUAAUGAGUACGAGUGGCAUGACCACGACAGAGAUUAGAGUAAGACUAAAAGGAAUUCGAAUCCCUCUAGUUCUAGGUAGCGCCUUAAGAAACGGGCGAGGUUCGAAAGGCCUCCGAGAUCUGACGCACUAGCUUCAGUUAUCGACGUUCAACUCUGUAGCGACUGUAGGAAGCGUUAUCUGCACGAGUGCUAGAGAAAGUUAGGAGCAUGCCUCUAUUGUGGGUCGAUGGAACAUCGAGUUAGGGAUUGUCCUUGUCAACCAAAUCAAGUGACAAUUGUGGCAUCGACUUCUAUUCCAGGUCAUGUUCAACCUCUAAGAGUAGGUCAGCAACCAGUACAUUCUUUAUUUAUUUUGUUCCAUACUUCGGACUCAUUGACAUUCUGUCUACUCACUCAUAUAUAGCUAGUACUAUUUCUACAAAUCUAGGUAUAACUGUUGAGAAUACUGUUAGAGAGUUUUCUGUGAUUAGUCCUUUGGGUCAAUUGUUUCGUACAUAUAAGGUAUAUAGACGAGUACCCUUGAAGAUUCAGGGUAUAGUAUUUUCGGUGGACUUGAUGGAGUUACUUUUUGAUGAAUUUUAUUAGAUUUUAAGAAUGGAUUGGUUCGUAGAGUAUCGGGUCAAUCUAGAUUGUGCAUCUAAAAGAAUUACUCGAGGAUGGAUGAAAAUAAUGAGGUUGUUAUUGUUGGUGAGCAUCGAGAUUACCUUUCCAAUGUAAUCACCACCUUGCUAGCGGAUAAGCUAGUCUAGAAAGGGUGCGAGGCAUACAUUGCCUACAUAUCCGAUACAUUUCCUACAAACCUUUCUGUAGGGAUAUUCGUACUGUAAGGGAUUUCUCGGAUGUUUUUCUUAAUGAAUUGCCUAAAAUACCUCCAAAUAAAAAGGUUGAAUUUAGCAUUGAUUUGUUACCGGGUACUGCUAAUGUUUCUAUUACACCCUACCGCAUGGCACCGAAGGAACUUGCAGAGCUAAAAGCUUAGCUCCAGGAACUUCUCGAUAAUAGGUUUAUCCGACCGAGUAUGUCUCCGUGGGGAGCACCAGUGCUGUUUGUUAAAAAGAAGGAUGGGUGGAUGAAAAUGUAUAUAAAUUACCGACAGCUAAGCAAGUUGACAAUAAAGAAUAAGUAUCUGCUACCGAGGAUCGGUGACUUAUUCGACCAGUUCUAUGGGGCAUCUAUUUUUUCUAAGAUCGAUCUCUAUUCUGGUUACCAUCAGCUCAAGGUUAAAGAGAUUGAUGUGUACUAGACCACCUUCAGGACUCGUUAUGGACACUUCGAGUUCCUGGUGAUGCCUUUUGGGUUGACGAAUGCCCUGGCAGCAUUCAUGGAUUUAAUGAAUCGAGUGUUCCAAAUGUAUUUGGAUCAGUUUGUGGUAGUCUUUAUUGACGACAUACUGAUUUAUCCCAAGACCGAGUUAGACCAUGAUGACUACCUUCUUAUUUUCUCCAGACACUCCGAGAAAAGCAAUUGUAUGCUAAGUUUAGCAAGUGCGAGUUUUGGUUGCAGGAGGAUUUUUUUCUUGGACAUGUGGUGACUGCUGAAGUGAUCUAGGUCAAUCUCAAGAAAAUAGAAGCUAUAGUUGAGCGGAAACAACCGAGAAAUGUGUUUGAGCUUCGGAGUUUCCUAGGCUUAAUAGGUUACUACUGAAGGUUUGUCGAGGGAUUCUCUCUCAUUGUGUCACCUUUGACGAAGCUACUGAGUAAGAACACUCUAAUUGUGUGGUUUGAAGAAUAGCGGUCUAGUUUCGAAAAGCUCAUGUUUGUUCUGAUGCAAGCUUUUGUUCUAGGUCAACCUAAAUCGGGUUAGGAGUUUAUGGUUUCCAGUAAUACAUUGCACGUUGGUCUAAAAGGUGUUUUGAUACAAGAUGGUAAAGUGGUAGCUUAUGCGUCGUGACAACUUAAGAUGCACGAGGGUAACUACCUACGAUUUUAAGCUGGAUGCAGUUGUGUUUGCUCUAGAUAUUUGGAGGAAUUACCUUUAUGAUGAGAGGUAUAUCAUUUACACUGAUCACAAUAGUCUUAAGUAUUUGUUAACUAAAAAGGAGUUAAAUCUCAAGCAGCGCAGGUAGGUUGAGUUGCUUAAGAUUAUGACUGUACGAUAGAAUAUCAUCUUAGUACAGCUAAUAUGGUAGCCGAUGCUCUUAGCCGUAGAGUGAUGACUAACCGAAAAAUGAUGUUUGCUUGUCUAAGUUUAGUUGAGGAUGGAGGAUCGUUAGCUCAAUUGCAGGUUAAACUGAUUAGGUCGAAUAGAUUCUGGUUAAACAAUUGAGUGAUGAGUUUCUAGUUCAGCGACUGCAACAGAUUGGUUCGAGUGAAACUUCAGAUUUUAGUUUAAACAGCGAUAAAGUGUUGUGUUUUGGGGGUCAGAUUUGUGUGCCUAAUGAUAAUAAGCUGAGGCAAUCGAUUCUGCAAGAGGCGCAUAGUAGCCCUUACGCUAUGCAUCUUGGUGGAAAUAAGAUGUAUCGGGACCUCCGAGAACUUUAUUGGUGGCUUGGUCUAAGAUGGAGAAUGGUUGCCGUCGUAUCACACUGUCUGAUGUGUCACAAGGUUAAAGAAAAACAUCAUUUGCCCUCAGGAUUACUUCAGCCGGUUAUGAUUACUCUAUGAAAAUGGGAGCGUGUAACAAUGGAUUUUGUUAGUGGGUUACUUUUAACCCCCACUAAGAAAGAUUCAGUUUGGGUCAUCAUUGAUCAAUUAACCAAAUCCGCUAAUUUUAAUCCUACCAAAACAUAUUACUCAUUGUAGAAGCUCGGUAAGCUGUAUAUUGCUGAGAUCGUAAGACUACACGGGUUUCACAUCUUGAUUAUCUAUAAUAGAGAUCUGCAUUUCACAUCUUGAUUUUGGAAAAAGCUUCAUGAGACUUUAGGCACCCGACUCAAUUUCAGUACUACGUAUUAUCCUCAGACCGACAGACAAUCUGAGUGAGUUAUUCAGAUCUUCGAAAAUAUGUUUCGAGGUUGUGUAAUAAAUUUCCUGGGUAGUUAGGAAGAUUACUUACCAUUGGCUAAGUUUGCAUACAAUAACAGCUUCUAGUCUAGUAUUCAGAUGGCACCUUACGAGGUUCUAUAUGGUCGUAAGUGUCGUACUCCAUUGUGUUGGACUAAGUUAAGCGAACAUUGGGUUUUGGGUCCUAAGCUAGUUCCUGAAACUAAGAAUACUGUCAAGCUAAUACGAAACCGUCUUAAAGCCACUUCUGAUCGACAAAAAUCUUAUGCCGAUUUAAAGAGAAAAGAUAUUGAAUUUUCUAUAGGCGAUCAGGUGCUUCUGAAGGUGUCACCAUGGAAAAAGGUCCUUUGAUUUGGACAUAAAGGCAAGUUGAACCCGAGGUUUAUUGGACCAUAUCGUAUCUUGAAACAUGUCGAACCUGUUUUCUAUUAAUUAGAAUUACCACUGGAGUUGGAACAGAUUCAUGAUAUGUUCCAAGACUCAAUGUUGAGACAGUAUCGAUCUAAUCCGUCGCGCAUUGUUCCGAUUGAGGAAAUUGAGGUAUGACCAAACUUAACUUUUGAGAAUGAACCUAUUCAGAUUUUAGAUCGUGACGUUAAGGUGUUGAGGAAGAAAAUUGUUCCUUUAGUUAAGGUUUUCUAGCGGAAUCAUGGCAUAGAGGAAGCUACUUGGGAACCUAAAGAUUUGAUUUGACGACAAUACCCGUAUCUGUUUGAGUCAAGUACAUUUUGAGGCUGAAAUUUCUUUUAGGGGGAGAGAGUUGUAAUGCCCUAAAAUUUUGAAUGUUAUUUCUAAGAUUCUGUAGUAAUCAAGUCUCGUUAUCUGUGAUUAUAUGCUCUGUUUAGGUGUUCGAGGUCAGGAGUUCGAGUCACAUUUUUAGAAGUUUUUCUAGUUUAAUUUUAAUCAAUCUCUACUCUUGGGCCAUUGACUUAAAGUUAAUUCUGUGUAAAUCUGUGUCAAGAAUGAGUUGCUAGUUCACUGGUUAAGCAUCUGUCUAUUAUCUAGUCCUAUGUUCGAGUCUCAGCCGUGUGGUUGGCUGUGUAACUCACUGUUUACUAAAAAUGAGCCACACGAGCGUGUGUACAAGCCGUGUGUGGUCAGGUUAGUACAAGGUUCACACGGGCCAAGGACACUGGAAUGUGUCUAGGUCGUGUAACUCAUUGAGACCAAGAUAGUGAUCACAUGGGUUAGGGACACGGGCAUGUGUCCAGGCCGUGUGACUUACUAUUUCUUUCAGAGUCAAUACGAUCCAGAGACACAAGCAUCUGUCAAGCUGUGUGGGACACACGGGUAGGAACACGGGCAUGUACCAGGCCGUGUAAGGUUAUUCGGGCAUGUGGGUUAGAUCUGAAAGUGAUCUCCGAGGCCAUAAGCGUUAUCUAAAGCAAAUGUCAGCUUUCUGUAGUGCAUUAAUGACCUGUAUUAGACUGUAUGUGUUGCUAUUUGAUAAAUCUGAGACUGAACCGGCACCCAUUGAUUUUGCACCUUCUAACAUCUCGGGUUGAGAAUUCUCGUCACACUUUUUUUUUCAUUCACAAAUUUUUUUUUGUUAUGGAUUCCUUGUCGAUUCUUCCCCUCGUUCUUUUUUUCUUGGGCUUGGCUACAUACCAAGCGUGGAUCCAUAAAAUUCCAAAAUUUUUAGAAAGUAGCUACUGUUGGCCCCAUUUAGAAUGAGAUCACAACAGAUUUGAUAGAGCCCAUCAAUUUGCUCUUUUAAGGGCUCUUCAAAAACCAAAUGAUUUUCUAUGG
rnacentral:lncRNA from 1 species